rnacentral:lncRNA from 1 species
UUCAGAUCUGUUUUAUUUUGUUUCCUUUCAUGUUCCUCGUGUUUCUUUUCAGAAGCUGUAAUAAAUCUAUCCAAGGCUUCUUCCCAACUUGCUUUCCGCUCUGGUUGUUGUGUCUGAUUUUGAAACCCGGAAUUGUUUUGUUGUCUCGGGGCUUGAGCUUGAGCUUGAUUGUUACUCCAUGAAAAAUCCGGGUGAUACCCCCAAUCAUGAUGAUAGUUGUUGGGAUAGACAUAAUUAUUGGGGUAAUC